rnacentral:misc_RNA from 1 species
GAAAUGCGAUAAGUAAUGUGAAUUGCAGAAUUCAGUGAAUCAUCGAAUCUUUGAACGCACAUUGCGCCCUGUGGUAUUCCGCGGGGCAUGCCUGUUCGAGCGUCAUUAUACCCAAUCAAGCCUGGCUUGGUAUUGGAGCCCGCGUCUUGCGGCUCUCAAACACAGUAGCAGUCUUAGCAGGACCCUAAGUGUAGUAAUAUCUCUCGCUUUUGGGCUUUGUACGGAUUUGCCGUAACCUAAUUUUAAAGGUUGACCUCGGAUCAGGUAGGGAUACCCGCUGAACUUAA